UGAUUAAAGGUGUCAUGUUUUUGUUUAUGUUAAUAAUUUUUAUCAGUAAACAAAUUUUUUUAUUUUUUAGUUUGAGAAAAACAAAAAGCUGAAAGAAUGGCUUUUACGUUUGUUGUGUAUUUUCUCGCAAUCGUAUACAUGAUUGUCUAAUCUAUUUGUUGAACUGCCAGUUAUGCAACUGAAAAUACAUUCUUUUUUCUUUACAUUAGAAGAUAGAGUUAUGUGAAGAAAUAGCUUCUUUUUUUUUUUUUUUUUUGUAUUCUGAUUCACUACCAACAAGGCUGCAAGCAACCACUAUUGAGUAGGGAGUUAUUAGAAAAAAAAAGAAGUUAUAGAGCUCAGAAGUUAUAGCAAGGAAACGGUUGGCAAAAGAUCUGAAAACUUGUAGGUUGAUUAAUAGUUGAAAUAAUAAAGGCUGUUGUUGUCAAAUUUCUUGGGGAAAGAAAAUUGUUAUUGCUUGUAAUAUUGCUGACAUUUUAACUAAUGUGUGAUUCACUACAUGAAUACUUAUGCCAAAAUUUAUAUGGUCCACAAGUUAUCUUUAAUAAAACAGAAUAUGAUGUAAGGAGUUGAAGAGAUAUCGAAAUGGAUGUUCAACCCUUGAUCAGUACAUUUGUUUACUAUUUGCUAGAUUUAACAUAUUCUUGUUUUAAGCGGCUUCUGGGAUGUUAGCAAGAUAUUUGAGACUUUUUGCAAUUGGCAUUAUUAUCUAAAAAAUGCAUUUUUCUUCUGCAAUCUUUUCAAAGCAAUGCAAAUUACUUUUGAAUUUAUAAAUUUUAAUAAGUUAUUUUAUUCAAUUAUUUUGUAAAUAAUUUA